AGUGAACGCUGGCGGUAGACCUAACACAUGCAAGUCGAACGGCAGCACAGUAAGAGCUUGCUCUUACGGGUGGCGAGUGGCGGACGGGUGAGGAAUACAUCGGAAUCUACUUUUUCGUGGGGGAUAACGUAGGGAAACUUACGCUAAUACCGCAUACGACCUACGGGUGAAAGCAGUGGAUCUUCGGACCUUUCGCGAUUGAAUGAGCCGAUGUCGGAUUAGCUAGUUGGCGGGGUAAAGGCCCACCAAGGCGACGAUCCGUAGCUGGUCUGAGAGGAUGAUCAGCCACACUGGAACUGAGACACGGUCCAGACUCCUACGGGAGGCAGCAGUGGGGAAUAUUGGACAAUGGGCGCAAGCCUGAUCCAGCCAUACCGCGUGAGUGAAGAAGGCCUUCGGGUUGUAAAGCCCUUUUGUUGGGAAAGAAAAGCAGCAGGUUAAUACCCCGCUGUUCUGACGGUACCCAAAGAAUAAGCACCGGCUAACUUCGUG
rnacentral:rRNA from 1 species